rnacentral:ncRNA from 1 species
AAAGGUUUGGUCCUAGCCUUCCCAUUAGUUAUUAAUAAAAUUACACAUGCAAGCUUCCGCAACCCGGUGAAAAUGCCCUUCAAAUCAUUUAUGAUAUAAAGGAGCGGGUAUCAAGCACACAAUAACCGUAGCUCACAACACCUUGCUCAGCCACACCCCCACGGGAUACAGCAGUGACAAAAAUUAAGCUAUGAAUGAAAGUUCGACUAAGUUAUAUUAAAUUAGGGCUGGUAAAUUUCGUGCCAGCCACCGCGGCCAUACGAUUAACCCAAACUAAUGGUCCCACGGCGUAAAGCGUGUUAUAGAAUAACAUUCCAUGCUAAAGUUAAAUCUUAACUAGGCUGUAAAAAGCUACAGUUAACACAAAAAUAUAACACGAAAGUAACUUUAAUACAUCAAAUCACACGAUAGCUAAGACCCAAACUGGGAUUAGAUACCCCACUAUGCUUAGCCUUAAACUUAAAUAGUUAAAUAAACAAAACUAUUCGCCAGAGAACUACUAGCAAUAGCCUAAAACUCAAAGGACUUGGCGGUGCUUUAUAUCCCUCUAGAGGAGCCUGUUCUAUAAUCGAUAAACCCCGAUAAACCUUACCACCCCUUGCUAAUACAGUCUAUAUACCGCCAUCUUCAGCAAACCCUAAAAAGGAAGAACAGUAAGCAUAAAUAUUAUUAACAUAAAAAAGUUAGGUCAAGGUGUAACCCAUGAGGUGGAAAGCAAUGGGCUACAUUUUCUGUGUCAGAACAUAACAUUUACGAAAAUUCUUAUGAAACUAAGAAUUAAAGGAGGAUUUAGCAGUAAAUUGAGAAUAGAGUGCUCAAUUGAAUAGGGCCAUAAAGCACGCACACACCGCCCGUCACCCUCCUCAAGUGACAAAAAAUUUAAAAUAAACUAUUUAANNNNAUCUAAAAAAAUCAUAAGAGGAGACAAGUCGUAACAAGGUAAGCAUACUGGAAGGUGUGCUUGGAUAAA